GGAAGGAUGGCCGAGUGGUUUAAGGCGCACGCUUGGAAAGCGUGUUGACAGCAAUGUCUCGCAGGUUCAAAUCCUGUUCCUUCCGCUA
rnacentral:tRNA from 1 species